rnacentral:rRNA from 1 species
GACGAACGCUGGCGGCGUGCUUAACACAUGCAAGUCGAACGGUAAGGCCCUUCGGGGUACACGAGUGGCGAACGGGUGAGUAACACGUGGGUGAUCUGCCCUGCACUUCGGGAUAAGCCUGGGAAACUGGGUCUAAUACCGGAUAGGACCACUGCCUGCAUGGGUGGUGGUGGAAAGCUUUUGCGGGGUGGGAUGGGCCCGCGGCCUAUCAGCUUGCUGGUGGGGUGAUGGCCUACCAAGGCGACGACGGGUAGCCGGCCUGAGAGGGUGACCGGCCACACUGGGACUGAGAGACAGCCCAGACGCCUACGGGAGGCAGCAGUGGGGAAUAUUGCACAAUGGGCGCAAGCCUGAUGCAGCGACGCCGCGUGAGGGAUGACGGCCUUCGGGUUGUAAACCUCUUUCAGCACCGACGAAGCGCAAGUGACGGUAGGUGCAGAAGAAGGACCGGCCAACUACGUGCCAGCCGCCGCGGUAA